CUCCCUUGCCAUUAGUACUUAUUAAGAAGCAAUUUUGGAAAUUUAGCUCUGCUGCUCUUCUUUUCAUGAGCUGGCCCAUCAAUUUUGUUUCACAAAAAAACAUAAUUUCUAGUUUAUGCUCAUGGAGGAUCAUUUUGAUUUCUUGGAAUGUCCGAUCCUUCCUCAUUUCCCAAACAUUCCAGCUGGUGAGCUUCAUGGUUGUCAGCAGGGCUGGCU
rnacentral:lncRNA from 1 species